CGUAGGUGGCAAGCGUUGUCCGGAAUUAUUGGGCGUAAGAGCAUGUAGGCGGCCUAUUAAGUCGGGCGUGAAAUGCGGGGCUCAACCCCGUAUGGCGCCCGAUACUGGUGGGCUUGAGUGCAGGAGAGGAAGGGGAAGUUCCCAGUGUAGCGGUGAAAUGCGUAGAUAUUGGGAGGAACACCAGUGGCGAAGGCGCCUUUCUGGACUGUGUCUGACGCUGAGAUGCGAAAGCCAGGGGAGCGAACGGGAUU
rnacentral:rRNA from 1 species